rnacentral:miRNA from 1 species
GACCGUGUUGCUGCAGGAGC